rnacentral:tRNA from 1 species
GCUUUUAUAGUUGAAAUACAACGAUGGUUUUUUCAUAUCAUUGGUUAUGGUUAGAGUCCAUGUGGAAGCA